rnacentral:lncRNA from 1 species
UGUCACAUAAAGGAUAGAAAUUUUUUGUAUUUAAAAUGUCUAUAUCUACUUUUAUGUAUUUAUAUAAAGUUGAAGGAGAAAAAAAGGUUGAUGCCAGCAAAAAGUCUUACCAAUGAGAUAUUUUUUUUAAAAAAAAAAAAGAAAAAGAAAAUGUAAAUCAAACUUAGACAUGGGAGGGAGUACUAAUUUUCGAAAUCAGUCCUAAUGAAUGAGUUGGGCUUGGACAAAGCCCUUAUUAUAAGUUGGGUUGGACAAACAUUUUGUGCAAGCCCAACAAUUUUUCAUGUCCAGUCAGUUAGCUUGAAUUGGGGGAACAAAAAAACAGAACAAAAAAUAUUGUUGAGCGAGUCUACCGAACCGGCUCAACUGCGGAGAAAGCCGAGUGCUGGAGUCGAGAAUUCGAGUUGAAGCGGUUUGAAAGUGUGAAUGAGCUACAACUAGCUAGUACAGCAGAUAGCAGAAAUAAGCUAAAACAAAAGAGUAGAGAAAUGGAGGACUACACUGCUCCGAAUCUCACUAAACCAGUUCGCUGCAUUGUUAAACUUGGUCCGUCUUCUUUUUUCUCUUUCAUAUUUUUCAGCUUCUGCGAUUGACCCAUGUCAUGUCUUUGCAUUUUUUAGCGAUUUACAUUAUCAUGGCUUAGUAAAAAGGAAUAUAUUGGAUCUCAUUUAAGCUGAGUUUGAUUCUUUUGAUGUUUUGGUUCACAAAAGAUUGUUACUUUCUGAUUUAAGCCUAAUUAUCAUUGUAAUAAAGUUAAUAUGCUAUCCUUAAUGGAUCCAGAGAUACAAAAUGAAUUACCUUGACAAGAAACUUCAAGAAUUGUUUGAGAAUUUGGACUUUUCUCUGUCUUUAUAUAUCAUAGUAUAUUGGAUGCAGGAGGUGCUGCAAUUACUUGCAAGAAUGAGUUAGAGAAGGUAAAUGAAGAAAAUCUUGAGGUUGUAUCCUUGCAGCUAAGGCAAGCUAUGAUUACGGGGUCUGGGUCCCAAAAAGUUAUUGGGUUUGAUUGGAGCAAGAAACCUGGAGAUCCUGAAAUUUCCUGUGAUGUGGAUAAUUUUGAAGACCAAACCUUGUUGGAUUCUAGCAGUUUUGUUGUUGUUCAUGGAGCAGGUAUUUUCGACAGUUGUUUCUUGAAUCAUUAUUGAAUAAGCAUGAACUGUUUCAUUGCUUUAGUCUUUUAAUUUUUAAGUGAUCUUCACACCUCUAGUUUGCUAAAGACGUGGUUGAAUUUAUCUUCUGUGUUAUUGGCCUCAGGUUCUUUUGGGCAUUUUCAGGCUAGCAAAUCGGGGGUUCAUAAGGGAGGAUUGGACCAACCACUUGUCAGGGCUGGUUUUGUUGCUACACGCAUCUCAGUAAGAUUUACUUGGAUACUAUAUGUUCUUUUUCUGUUUUUAUUUUCUCAUGAUAUUUCAGCGAGUAUUCUGAAGUGCAAAUCUUUAUGUGCUAAGCUGUUAUGAAGCCAAGUGCUGUUAUGAAUCCAAGUGCAUAGGUGGUGUUGUUACAAUUGAAAAUGUUUGAUAUGUUUAUGGCGCUUCAGUGUCCUGUUGUUAAUGAACCAUGUCCAAGUUUUGUACAAUUAUUGAUUUGUUUUACACCAUAGGUACUAUAAAUGUGGAAACUUAGUUUGGGCAGAAAAGUUGUUAAAUACUCCUUUAAAGUUUUUGGAAUGGAUGCCAAGCUUAAAGGUGGCCCUUGUUUGUAACUGCUGUUAUCUGUUAAAAAUUCCCACUGAGUCUGGGAUGUUCAUCCAUAUGAUAUAUUAAUGUAAUUGCCACAACAAAAUCCAUAGGGAAUUACAUUUUCUUUAACGUCUAAGCGUCACUUUCUCAAAUACAUAGAAAAUUUCAUAACCUAUUUCAAGCUUUGGCAUACUGAAGGUGCUAAAAUGACAAAAAGUUUAUUCUGAUUUUUUGGAAGAUUUAUUUAGUAUUUUCUUUGUUUCAUCUAGAAAAACUUUCACCUUUAAAUUGUCACUAUGUUAUUCUUACAUUUCACUGACAGAAGCAUGGUAAAUAUCAAGGAUCUGUGUGUCAAACUUGGAAUGGGCUAGUGGUUACCAAAAUUUGUAUUUUAAGGUUUUAAUGUUACUUUUGAAGCUUUAUAUGACUCCUUUUGAGAUCAUGAGCAAAAAUUAGCUUGACAAAAAGUGAUGUCAAUUGUCAGUGUACUCUUGACCAGAUUUAUUGGAUGAUUUCUAAGGGAAAUGUGAAUCUAAUUUUCUACCUCUUCAUAAUUGAUUGGGGUAUAAAAUAUUCUCUCAUAUCCAUCAAGUUUCUAUGCUACUUAUGCUAAAUUUUCUAUGGAAAUUUGGGUUUGGUCUCAGACAGAUCAUUUCAUGGAAUAUUUUUUAUCUCCCAUUUUUAUCGACUAUUUGUUUAUAUAUCUUUUAUUUUUAUUUGUUUCAGGUUACAACUCUGAAUCUUGAAAUUGUUCGAGUGCUAGCUAGAGGUAAUAGUAAUAAAAAGGUUAUUUUUAUACAUGCUUUUUUUAUCUGUUCUUUCCUAGACAAGAAUAGUCUUUAUAUUUUCACUAUUGAAAGUGUAACAAAUGCUGGACAACCUUUUAGUUAUUUACGAAAGCUUUUUGCUCUUGCAAUCUGCAUUUCAUGCUUGAACAGCCUGAUAGAAGGGUUCGGUGAAAUUGCCAUAGGCUCUAGUGGGCAUUUAUGCAAUAACAAAUGUGUUUCUAUGUUUAAGAUUAACGUAAAAACAAAUUGUCGCUAUCUAUAUUUUCCUGGUAGAUUUUAAAAUAUCUUGUAAAAGAGUGUGUUUCAUGAUUAUUUAUAGUACAAUGAAUUAUAUUUUUUUUUGAGAACUUAUGUUGGCUGGAGAGUUGAAAAUGUCAAUUAUGAUUUGAUACCACAUUUGCUUCUGCAAAAAGUAGCUUGUUAUGCUGGCAUAAACCAUAAAACCAAUUGCCUAAAAUGAUCUAAAUAAUUAAAAUAACUCUAUAAAAAAUUUUCAGGAUUUCUUUCUAAAAUAGGUGUAACUAAAAUCUUUGAGAAAUGAUUUUGCAAGGAGGGAGGAAGUGAAUUUUGUACAAAAAUACGAUAUUGGCAUGAGCCUAGUGCACACUUCUCUUUAAGGGUUGUAUUUUGGGUUUUCUAUGUAUCGUUAUGAAAAGGUUGCAAGAAGGGAGGAAAACUAACGGAUUGUAUAGUGAUUGUAUGUUUCUUGUAUCAUGUGAAAAAUGAUGAAGAUGAAUCUAUAUGCUACUGUGAACCAAAUAAAAUUAUUUGUUUCUUGAUUAUAUCACUUUGUCCAUUAUGUAGUUUCAAUUGGAAUACUAGUUUUAACACAAGAUACAUUAAAUGUCAACUGCUUUGAGUUGGAAAUUUUCAUCUUUUUUGUUUCAUUCUCUGAUGUUUCUUUAUGUAACAUAUUAUGAGCAUUGAAAUUGGUUUCAUGGAGUUUUGAAAUUGAGAAUAGACUUGAUUAGCCUGCAAAUUUCUUUCCAUUGAAUACUUUGUAGCUUCUCAGUAGCCAUAUCUGUUUCUAUACUUUGUUCGGGAUGUGCACUGCAUCACUUUAACAAGUUCUUUUUCUCACAGUGGGCAUUCAUUCCAUUGGAAUGUCUCCAUUUUCAUGUGGAUGGUCAACUUCAGAAAGAAAUGUCAGAGGCAUUGCAAAAGAGUGUAUUCAUUAUCUUAUUUGCAUCAAAUAUGGGUCCUUUUUGUUUUAAUCAUAUUAGUGAUUUAGUAUAAUUCUCAACCUUCUAAGCUUGACCUUUUUCCCCCCCCUCAGAUAGCAUCGGCAGAUUUGUCAAUGGUUGCUAAGGCAAUUGAUUCUGGAUUUGUACCUGUAAGAUAUAAUUCUUCUACUUCUACUGGUUCAUAGAUGCUUUAAAAUCUUAUAAGCUUUUCAUUAUCCUAUAUAUUUUCAGUUGCAUGGAUCAUAAUUACUUGUAAAUGAAGCAUUGUCUCUGUAUUAUGCUCUUGUCAAGUCAUAGAUGUCUUUGAUGUCAACUAUAAAACUGUGGCUUCAAAAUUGUUCACAAUGACUCAUAUGGUUCGUCAACAAAAAAGGAAAACCUAAUCAUGUAACUUUGCAAAUACAAAAGGAGGGUUAGACAUCCCAGGCCUGAGGAGAUGCAAUGAAGUCUGCCCUUGCAAGAAAUUUCUGGAUGCUUGUGUCCGGCCCCAGUUCCAUAUGCACCAAAUGGAUCUGAGCCAGGUAUAUCAAAUCCAAUUAGAUAUGGGGCUAUUCUCCUUCAUCUGGCUGCUCUCCUACGUGUAAGAACACAUCAAACUGACCCAAAGCAAAACAUACUUUUUACAUGUCAUUGUGAAUAAUCAGCCAAUGAGUUUGAGAUGACGAGCAGCCUUUACCUGUUAUGAUAGUGCCAAAAUAGGGUCUUAAGAGAUGUAACCUAAACGUCCUAUGCUUAACAUUUUUCCAAAAAAUAUGUUGAUCAAAAGGUAUAGCUAUUGUAUAUAGACAGGACGUUCUGAACUUGCAGUCACUAAAGCUUAAUGUACAGACAACUUUAACAUUUCAGUUUCCACAUAGCUGUACCAAUAUGGUAAUUUCAUAUGACCUUUUUUGGAUGUCCAAUGGUUCUAGAGGUUAGGGAUGGCAAUGGGUAGGGUUCGGGUUGGGUAGUGCAAUCCCCAUACCCAAACCCUAUCCCUAUCCCCAUACCCUACCCAAUACCCUAUCGGGUAGAGAAUGUUAUACCCAUGCCUAAACCCAAUGGGGUUCGGGUUACCAUGGGUAUCUAUUGCCCACAAAUACCUAUUUACUCAUAUAUUCAAAUUGUGUAAAAAAUUAGAUUAUAUUGAAUCAAUAAAUAAAAGAAUUAAAAAAAAUAAAAGUAUCUUUCCAUUAAAAAUAUGAAAAUAAAUUAAUAAAUAAAUAAAUGUUCAAAAAAUGAUAAAUUAAAAUUUUAAUUACAAAAUUGCGCUUUUUAUCAUAAUGCUUGCUCUUCUUAUCAUAAUGUGUCACUCAAGGGCAAUAGUAGUAGACUCUUCAACUGAUAAAUUAACGAAGACGAUGAUGACUUGACACCACUUGCUUUGAAAUAUUUGAUAAAAUGACUCUCUAUUGUAACUAUUACUUGUGUUAAAGCUUUUAAUAAAAUGUUUUGUUUUUGUGAGAAAGAAGAAAACAAGAGAGACUCUAACCAAUAAUAAUUUUUCAAUUUCUCAUGCUAACUAAUAGUCAUUUCAAUCUACAAUAAAUAAUAUAUAUAGACUGAGAUAUAAAAUUAAAAAUAAGAUAUUUAUUUAAAUGAAAUAUUAAAUAUUGAACUUUAAAUUUUAAAAUCCUAAAACUUAAAAAAUUUGAAAAUUUCAAAUUGUUUAAAUAAAUUUAAAUUAUUCAAAUUAAUUUAAACUAUUCACAUUAUUGAAAUUAAUUUAAAUUAUUCAAAUUAACUCAAAUUUAUUCAAAUUACAAUUAUUUUACUUUAUUAAAUAUUUCAUACUACAAUUUAAAGAAAAUAAUUAAUUUUCAAACCUUUUAGGGUUUGGGUAUCGGGUUCGGAUAUUACCCGACCCAAAAGUUCAGAUUGGGUUUGGGAUCAGGUUUGAGUUUAUAAUAACGAUACUCAUACCCUACCUAUACCCAAAACGAAACUUUCCGAUUUUACCCAAACCCAAUCAAAACCCUAAAAAUCGGGUUUGACUGGGUUCGGGUUGGGUGCAUACCCAUCGGGUCGGGCUGAUUUUGCCAUCCCUACUAGAGGUCAACUGAAAUUAUGAAUAAAAGAAUUCACUAUUUUAGGUCAAUAUCUUGGGUUAACAAAGCCUUGAUGCCAUUUGUUUUGGCUGCCUACAGAUUUCAAGAGCUUGUGGUCUAUAAUGAAAUUUGAUAUUAUGGCAUGAGAUAUUUACUUUGCAAUGCAGCUACAAGGUUCAAAGGUCUAGUUUCAAUUGAGGUGAUAAACUGCCUCUUGGACUUCCAAUGAGAUAUAUUAAACUGUAGCUGUAGGCAUGUGUGCCUUUGGGUGAUAAACCAUUUGCUUGUUGGCAUAGAGCCAUUGCUAAGACGACCUUUUAUCAUGAAUCUCUUGUUAUUGAAUUUACUCAAGUUAAGGAGACAUGGUUUCUUUUUCUAUUUGAUAUCUCAAUCAAGCUUUAUUUUUCUCUUUUUCUCUUUUUCUAACUUUUGGUUGAAAAUGCCGCGUUAUCAUAUAUUUUUAUUUGCUUUCUAGGUUCUACAUGGAGAUGCUGUACUUGAUGAGUUACAGGUUUGGUUUCUCCAACAAUAGAUGUGGCAUUGCGAUUAUAGAGUUGGAAUUGACAUGCAUUUAUGUUGCUUAUGUAAUCAGGGAUGCACCAUAUUGAGUGGUGAUGUCAUUAUACGUCAUCUUGCAGCCUACUUGAAACCGGAAUAUGUGGUGUUCCUUGUAUCCUUUUUCCAUGAUAUGUUCUUCAUAUGCUUCCAUAUCUUGGACAAUCCUCUGUAAAUCAGUUUCUUAAAUCUUCAUAUUUUUAUGCACAAUCAGUCUUGGAUUAACGGUCAUUUUGAUACUUACCAUAUAUCAUUUGUUGACGAGAAAAAAAGUUAUUUGCUUGUUAUCCAAUUAACAUAGAUCAAAGACAGAUGUUUUGGGUGUGUAUGACCGUCCACCUUCAGAGCCAGAUGCAAUUCUCUUGAGGGAGAUCGGCAAGUACUCAUAUUUUCAACCUAGAUGUUGCUUGUGAAUCUUUCAAAUUGAAUGCAUGCAAAUAACCAAUUUUCAUUUUCAAAUCAUGACAGCGGUUAAUGAGGAUGGAAGCUGGUCUGUUGUGAAGCCAACACUCCAGAAUGCAAAUGAACAAGGUUUGUGAAAAUAACUAGGUUCUGAUGUUGCAAGAUAGCGAUGGCUAAUUCUGAUAUACAUGCUUGCUUGCAUGUGCGCUUGCUGUGUGGAGUGUUUUCAACCUUCUUUUUACCUGCAUUUGUGCUACCCGCGUCCAGUGAAUUCUCAUAUCAAGCAUCCAUUUAGCAGUAUAUUGUUGUAAAAAUGAUGGUUUAGAGCCAUAGUUUAGUAUUAGGACAAAUUCCUUUUUUCAUUCCCCACCUUGUUGAUAAAAGUUCGAAAUAAGUUUUCCAGUUCUUGUCAACAGUUGAAAUAACUGUAGCAGCCCAUGAUACGACUGGGGGGAUGGUGACUAAGAUAUCAGAGGCUGCAUUGAUUGCAAAACUUGGAAUUGAUGUCUACAUUGUUAAGGUAAUAACUAUAGCCACAUUUUGUUCUCAUUCAUUUACGACUUAUUUUCUGUGUCUUUCUUAUCUCCAACUGCACCAUGUUUGUGCAAUUAACAUUAAGAAUCUUUUGCGGUAAAUACAGGCAGCAACAAGCCACUCAUUGAGGGCCUUGAGUGGAGAAGUGAGAGGCACCAUUCCUGAUGAUUGGUUUGGGACCGUACUCAGAUUCGUUGACAAAGGAAUUGAUUGUAGUUGAUGAAUUUGGGAGUAUUCAAUAUUUCAGUAAAGCCUCAAAGAAAACAGGUACUGGAGAUUUCAAACAAAAUGCCUGUGAGCGUGCAAGACCUUGUCUGCUACAUUUAUUUGAAUCGUUUUUCAAAAUAAUUAUCUGCAACUCUUGAUUCAUCUGAAACGCAAAAUUGUCAAGUUGACAUCAAUUGUUGAUUAACUGUGUUCAGUGCUUUUAUGAGAACAUGUACGAGAACAUGCAAAAAUUCUGUGGGCAUUCAAACGUUAAUUAGAAUGAAAGCAAAUGGUAGGUCUAAUUUUCAAAAAAUGUAACAAAGAUUACAAUGGACAGUUACGCAAGCAUAGACAAGCAGCGAGAACCAAAAGCAAGCUGAGAUUCGCGGAAGCUAAAGCCAAAACGAAAAUUCUGCAAAACUACAAGCUAUAUAAAUAUGCAUAAUUAUUUCUUCCCAACACAUUUUUUCCAUAACAGAAUUAUAAAUAAAUAGUCUACACAAGGUUAUCCGAGAAUAACAAGGGAUUUAACAAAAAAAAAAAAAAAAAAUGAAAACUAUGGGGAAUGAAACUGUAAAUAGUUUUGAAACAUCCAAAGGUGUUUAGAAGCAUACUCUAACCAGUAGAUUCAACUUCUUCACACCAAGUACAAAAAU